UGGGGAAUCUUCCGCAAUGGGCGAAAGCCUGACGGAGCAAUGCCGCGUGAGUGAAGAAGGCCUUCGGGUUGUAAAACUCUGUCCUUAUCGAAGAGAGGUGGGUAUGUGAAUAAUGUACUCAUAGGACGGUAGAUAAGGAGGAAGCCCCGGCUAACUACGUGCCAGCAUCCGCGGUAAUACGUAGGGGGCGAGCGUUGUCCGGAAUCACUGGGCGUAAAGGGCGCGUAGGCGGUUUAAUAAGUCAGUGGUGAAAACUGAGGGCUCAACCCUCAGCCUGCCACUGAUACUGUUAGACUUGAGUAUGGAAGAGGAGAAUGGAAUUCCUAGUGUAGCGGUGAAAUGCGUAGAUAUUAGGAGGAACACCAGUGGCGAAGGCGAUUCUCUGGGCCAAGACUGACGCUGAGGCGCGAAAGCGUGGGGAGCAAACAGG
rnacentral:rRNA from 1 species